rnacentral:lncRNA from 1 species
GAAGAAGUGCUAUCAAAAUAUUUCAAUUCUUUUAAUGCAAACUUUAUUAAAUUUGGAACUUUUGACCAGUAUGCCACAAAAUUUGCUGAUCAAAGCAGGGGAAACCAAUGUACUUGUAAUUGUUUAGUUUUCUUAUCACUUUCUUCUUUAAAUUUUGAUUCAAACACACUGAACCUGGAUUACAUUUUAAUAAAGGAGAUGAAAUUUACAGGAAGCAUGUUCAAAUUAACAACACAGGGAUUAUUUAAAAAUAUGCUUUUGAAUUUUGAUGAAAUUCCUGUCAAAAUUGAAAUUCCUGAAGGGAUUUUUAUAAUUAACAAACAAAAUAUUCUGUUUGGUAUAGCUUUACAGUACCAAGAGUUGACUGGAUUUCUCUCAUUACAAGAAGCAAUUCAAAAUUGUAUUAAGCAGUCAAACAAAUUUCUUAUAAUGAUUGGAGCCAUAUGUUCAGCAGUUUAUUAUUAUAAUCAUAUAUACUAUUUUUUUGACACUCAUUCUCAUUCAGAAUGUACACUGAAUAAUCCAUUAGAUUCCUCUGGCAAAAGUAUUUUGAUUGGAUUUGCUGACUUACAUGACCUCCUCAGUUACUUGUAUGCUUUUUACACAAGUUUACAAAUUGAUUUAGACUCUCAAUAUGAAAUUUUACCUGUAUGUAUCAGUAGUAAAGAUACUGACAAAGAUGUGACCAAGCAGAUUAAGAAUUAUUUCGAUGAUCAGAAACUAAGGAACACAAAACAAAAAAAUAAUUCUUACCAGUAUAUAGAGAGUACCCAAAUUUGUAUAUAUGAAAAACUACAUGCAAAAUAGAAGAAAAGAAAAAAAUUAUAGAAAGACUGAAGCAGAUAGAAAGAAGUCUCAGAGAGAAAAUUCAGAUAUAAGACA